AUGAGGGGCUUUAACUGUGGCCCGAAGACGUUUUGCCGUGUUGAGGGGUUUCUUUGCUUAUUGAGCUGGGUUUUUUUCCUGUAUAAUUUUAUAAAAAAGCGAAGUUGUUUAUUGGUAUUACAUAGUAAUGAUGACAAUUUUUACAUAUUUGUCACUGUAUUGACAAAAUAUGGUAGACGCCCUCUCAUUUGGCUCCUAUGGGACUUGACUUCAGACUGGAUAAAUGAAUGACCAGUUAAUCUGAAAAUGAAUAUAAAAUAUACUAUAUAUGUAUGUAUGUUGUAUAUACAAAUUUAUUAAACUAAAUCAGUAACCCUCAUUUAUUUUUUUGAUUUAAAUUCAUUUUUUUAAAGCAAAAUCAUGUUAUUUUUCAUAAGAAUUAUAU
rnacentral:lncRNA from 1 species